rnacentral:lncRNA from 1 species
UUCAGAAACAUUUUAGAACAGUUAUUUAGGAAAUCAUGUCCAUUGGACCAAAUCUUCUGAUUAUGUUGCAUGACGGAUGUCCAUUUUGCCAAAAUAUCAUCUCUUGCUGCAUGUCUCUUCCCAUGCUGAAGCACUAUAACUGCAAAAAAUUUCAGUUAAGUUGACUUUGGAUAUGCUUUUACAUACAAGUAGGAAAAUCUUGACAACUGAAGAACUAUGUAAAAUUUUCUCAUGAUUGAAGUCCAGUAGAGCUGUUGCAUGCAGUUUGUUGUGCUGGUGUUUUUACAUUCUCUAGUUAUCUUCACCACCUUUGUCUUCACCAGAUUCAAUUCUUUACUGCUCUUUGAUCUUGUGGACAAACAAAAAAAAUUGUCCCUCUCGAGAGGUGAUCACCAUUUGAGCUUUAAUUAAGGACAAAUCUAGGAUUGAUUGAUCAGAGGUUAAUCCCUCAACGUUGUUUAAUGAAGGGAGUCAGCGGUGGUGUGGCUCUGCAGUACUAAGCCAAUCACAUGGCGCAAAAUGAAUUGUCCCUUACGACCAGACGAUGGAGCAGAUUGCCUUCCCCAUUCCGUAAAUGUGCGAGUAUUUUACCAACGAAAGAAAAGGGCGCAUCUUCAACACGGCGGACGACCAGGGAUUGAAAAUGGCCGUCUUUUUUUAAAGGAGUCGACAUGUUUAACAAAAUGAAAUGUAGAAGAAAUUGCGCGAACAGCCGUUUCUCUUUUGGGUCAGCUCGCACAUGCAUCCAUCUGGAGUCAAAUCCUCUUCAGUUUGGCCGUCAUUCAACUUGGUUGUCGCCUUCUUUUACCCGAUUGACACUGACGGACCGGCUCCUGAUCCAUUAGCAUUUGAAACUGCUCUAGCAUUGCCACUUUGAAGCAAACGACCUUUGUUCCUUCUCUACUAGAGUCACCUAGUAGAGGAAUCUCGUGCUGGUCUAGGAAUCCCAACUCAACCGUAGUCUGCUCCACACCCAUGUUCGACACAGUUCGUCAAAUCAAACAUGUACUGUGUAAGACUAAUGAAGAGGAGUAAUUCCAAACCACACUUGCUCGGUGUUAGUUAGACCACAACCUUAACCAGCCUCCAUAAAAGAAAGGAUUCACCAUUGGACUCUUUACUUUUUUCUAGUCUUUACUGAUCAUGAAAUUAAUUUCGGGAAUCAAGCAUCAAACCUUGACGUGAAAAGAAUCUUUGAAGCCUGCCACAAGUACUGUUGGGUACUAUUGUUAUGCUAUGCUGCUAACUAUUGUGUUUAACCUGAACAAUCCUUUGUGGCUGUAAGGGCACCGAAAGUACAGUUUUACCUUAACCGUGUGAGAUAAUUGUGCACGUACGUACAUACAUUACGACUAAUCAAACUGAAAAUGAUUGUCAUUUCAAAGUGUAGUCGCUUUGUGCAAAGGUGAAUCUUGGCUUGUCUCUUGAGAACACAGCACAUGGUCACAUUUACUUUAGCUAUUAAACAAAGGAAUUGCUACUGGAAUUCUCCACAAACGUAUUUGUCAGUUAGGUUAAGUGAAGCUGUUUGCUGUUGCCGUCUUCUGUAGAAGAACAUUUUUACUUGUCACCUCAAUAACUGCAUAAAUUGGGAAGCUGCCUGUUUUGCGUAUUUACUUCAGCAUGCUAUAUCUUUUCCUACUGUCUGUUGAUGUUUGAGGUAUGACUGAAAUUGCCUGUGCUGUUGCAGUCCAAUGUGAUGAUACCUGCCUGUUUUCUGAUUUAAGGAGUACUAAACAAAACGGAUUUACGAUGGUGGUUAUUUUUCGGUUUUGUUUGGUGUACUCAUUAAGUGUGUUCUCUAUGUGUCGCUUUUCAAGUAAUUUAAGCAAAAGUUUCUGUUUGUUGUUUGCUGUUUUGUGUUUUCGCGUCUCUUCGGCAGAAUUUAUUAUGUCUAAGUCUAUUUAGAAUGGGACAUGUUGAUUUGAGACAAGCUCGUAUGAAGCAUUUAAUUGUAUGUUAUUAGAAUGUGUGUAAAAUUUUUCUUGAUUUGGCGAGUAAACGCUAAAAAAUGUGCGAAA